rnacentral:lncRNA from 1 species
CCAUUUGAGCUCAAAUUUGACAGGCAUGUUCGGUUUUACUUAACAAGUCCAAAGAAAUUUUAACAUUUCAGUUUCGACCCCGUUUGGUCACUGCGAACUGUACCGAACUGCGAUUUUUAUCCGAUAGCUUUCGGAUCAAAUUUCUCUCUCUACGGGUGUCAGAAUAAUCUGAAACUUUAAAUCUAGCCUCAUACAAAUAUUCCUAACAUCUCCGCCAAUUUUCAUAAUUUUCUGACACUGUGCAUUUUCUGCUAAUUUCUCAGUCCCAUUCUUUACAGAAAAUUUCAAAUCUUCUGUUUUUGCUCCGAUUUCAACACGAACACUUCCAAAACAUGCCAAGGGACUUUCACAAGCUACCA